rnacentral:misc_RNA from 1 species
GGUGAAGAACGCAGCGAAAUGCGAUAAGUAAUGUGAAUUGCAGAAUUCAGUGAAUCAUCGAAUCUUUGAACGCACAUUGCGCCCGCCAGUAUUCUGGCGGGCAUGCCUGUUCGAGCGUCAUUUCAACCAUCAAGCCCUGCUUGCGUUGGGGUCCUGCGGCUGCCCGCAGGCCCUGAAAACCAGUGGCGGGCUCGCUAGUCACACCGAGCGCAGUAAUACAUCUCGCUUUGGGCGUGCGGCGGGUUCUUGCCGUUAAACACCCCCUUUUUACCAAGGUUGACCUCGGAUCAGGUAGGAAUACCCGCUGAACUUAAGCAUAUCAUAAGCGGAGGA